GUCGGAUAUUUGCAGGGUUAUGUCCGGACUUCUGCUCCAAGAACAGAAGACUGCGUAGGUUGUAAGCGGUGCGAAUCCGCUUGUCCAACA
rnacentral:tRNA from 1 species